UCUUUUUCUCUUUCUUUUUCUUUCUUCUUUCUUUCUCUUUUCAUCUUCUCUCCCUGUCCUUUUUCUUCCAUUCUUUCCUUUUCUAGUUGCAAGACCACAACCUUAGGACCUCAAACUCUGCUGCUUGCGUCGUUUUUGCUCGUCACUAUUGCUACCACACCAUGCAGCCACCGCUUGCCACCACCCAUGAUCAUCUCCAUUUCCGUUAUCUGUUGGCAUCUCCGAUUUUGGUUUGGGGGUAGUGAAGAUCAACAUGUUGGCUUUACACUACCAAUCCCACCUAUGUCAUAGCUGCUCGAGACCCUCCAUUACUUGUUCAGAGAAGUUUUGUUGUCCCUUUUAUUUCGUAUUCUAUUAUUUAUCUCUUAUAUCAGGGACAAUGUAAGAUUUAGGUGUGGGGGAGUAGAAUAUUGGUAUUUUAUUGAAAAAGUACAAGUGUAGGCAUUUUUGUUGGAAUUUUUUAUUUGACUUUGUCGAAUUUUAUCCAAUUUUUGCCUAUCUUUGUGCAUAUUUGUGAUUGUUCCCGAUAAACAAUGGUUAGAUGUUUCAAAAUUUUCUAUUGCUAAGAUUUUACACUCUAAGGUGUUAAGUAUGACAUGAUUAAAUCUAAGAGUAUCUUUUUGGUGAAUAUUUGAGAUUUUGUGAUCUUUGCACUUUUUUGUUAACUUUUCUACGUAUUGUAAAUAUUUGUCUAACAUUAUUUUUAUGCAAAUUGCUUCAACUAUUAAUCUUAGUUCUCCAUAUUUAAAAGAUAUAGUGGGUUUCUGUGAUUUUUAAUUUUAAUUUGGUGCUUAAUUAUGAAUAGUAAUGGACUAUACUCCGAUAGUAUCGUUGCCUAGUAACCGGAGGUUUUCACCACAAGUAUCGAUUUUCGCGUCAAAAAGUGACGAUAACUAUGAGUAUAUGGUCCUUUAGCGAUAAAAGUUGAGUAAUCGGGUUCCUUCUUUUGGUAGAUGUCGGAGUUCGCGUCAAAACACUUAAAUGGCUAAAGACUAAGCAUUCCCCUUGAAAGAAAAAUUCAAGUGUGGGGAUAUUCUAGAAAAUAAAAAAUAUAUAUGUGCUAAUAGUGAAACAUGUGAAAGUGUUUGAAUAAAUUGUUAGCCCGCUAAUCCAUGAAUUUUAUUGUUGACAUUUUGCUUAAUAGUCGAACCGUUUGCUUAUGAAUGUUGGUUGGAGAGAUAGUUCUUGGAACUUAAUCGCUAAUACUUGACAUGUGUUUUAAUUGUAUCUUAGCAAUAGAAGAUAUGAACAAUAGCCAUUGUUUGAAUUUGAUUGUUUGAAUUGUUAUUCUCAUGCUUGAGGACAAGCAUGAUUUAGGUGUGGAGGAAAUUGAUAGGGUGCGAAAUUGUCAUUUAAUUUAUAAUUUUUUUCGUUUUAUUCUAGCCAAAUAUUAUAUUAAUUGAUUGAUUUUAUUUAUAUUCGAUAUAAUAUUGCCAAUUGUAGGAAAAUGAACAAAAUGUGAUCAAAGGGGUAAUUUUUCAAGAAUUACUGUCAAGUCUUGAGAAGUCGGGAUUUCACGCGUACGGUGGCAGUUUCCAAAGAAUGGUGGAUUCCAAAUCUGAAGCUAUGCUGGAAUAAUCAUUUCCUUUUUCUAUUUAGUAGUUGAGUACUAUGAGGAAACUAUUUUUAUUAGAAAAUCUGUUAAAUUAGAAAAGUUCAUAUAGUCUAGGAUUCUAGACUAUUAGGAAGUCUUUUCAGCUUGAGUUUGACGGAAGAGAAGGACAACAAGAAGUAAUAAGAAACAAAACGGCUUCGGCCUCGAAUCGAUUGGCUAUUAUAUUGUUUUCCUUCAUUUGGGGAAAAAAAGAUUGUUCAUUAAUUUCUUUGGAGAGUCUCUGAUGAUAACGGAAACACUUAAUUCGCGCGGGAUUACUCCAAGGAUGAUGAACUAAUCAUCCACUUUUAGUCAAGGGGACAACUGAAGAUUUGGUUUGGUCAUAACUGUGAG
rnacentral:lncRNA from 1 species